GCUUACGGCCACACCGCCUGGUUCACGCCCGAUCUCGUUUGAUUUCGGGAGCUAAGAUAGGUUGGGCCUGGGUUAGUACUUGGAUGGGAGACCGCCUGGGAAUACCAGGUGCUGUAAGGG
rnacentral:rRNA from 1 species